rnacentral:rRNA from 1 species
AUUGAACGCUGGCGGCAGGCCUAACACAUGCAAGUCGAGCGAGUGGCGGACGGGUGAGUAAUGUCUGGGGAUCUGCCCGAUGGAGGGGGAUAACUACUGGAAACGGUGGCUAAUACCGCAUACUAUCGGAUGUACCCAUAUGGGAUUAGCUAGUAGGUGGGGUAAAGGCUCACCUAGGCGACGAUCCCUAGCUGGUCUGAGAGGAUGACCAGCCACACUGGAACUGAGACACGGCCCAGACUCCUACGGGAGGCAGCAGUGGGGAAUAUUGCGCAAUGGGGGCAAGCCUGACACAGCCAUGCCGCGUGUAUGAAGAAGGCCUUCGGGUUGUAAAGUUCUUUCAGCGGGGAGGCGUUACCCGCAGAAGAAGCACCGGCUAACUCCGUGCCAGCAGCCGCGGUAAUUC